CAGUGCGCCAGAUGAGUGGUGGGCCAAGCAAAAUGAAGCAAUGCCAGGUUGUAUUAUGUUCAAAACAGCCCCCCUAGAGAAUGAGGACGAGCUAAAGGUUAUGUUUGGACCCAUUGUCUGCACAAAUGAAAGAACCCUGGUUCCUGGCGUGGAGGAUGCUAAUUCAUCUUCUGAUGAUCAUUUGGAAUACACUUUAGGUGGGGGUGAAAACAGCACACCUGACCCCUGCACAAAUGCUACUGGGAAGCGUAAGAUGCGCCAUGAUUCCCCAAAACCAAAGAAGAAAAAAGAUUCGAGGGAAGAGUACAUGAAAAGACUUGUCGAGGCUUUUGAGUCCCGCUCAUUGACCACAAACAAGUCCAUUACUUCUUCUGACAAUGACCCGGUUCGAUUAGAAAUUAAAAACCAGUUGCUACAAGUCAAGGAAGAUGGAUCACCUGAAGGGAGCGAACUACAUUUGUUUGCGACGCAUCUUCUGAUUCAUAAGAAGUAUAGAGAUGUUUUUGCAAACUUGGAGACAAAAGAAGGAAGAAUCGCUUGGCUUCGCAAUGCUUACGAGUUAGAAACUAAAAAGAGCUCUUAGCUGGUGGACGUCCGACAACAGAGUCGUACAUGUUUGCUGCUAGUUGUGUCUGCUUAAUGAGUCCACCUACAUGUUGCUGGUCCGACAACUCAGGCUUAUAUGUUCAGUAUGUUAGUUGUGUCUGCUUAAUGAGUCAUGCUGUCUCAGUUUUCGUUACUAUCAUUUUCGCUUGAAAACAAUUUUCCACAAAAUCGAGUUGAACAUGUAUGAGAAUAAUCAGAGUUGUAAUCGCU